GAGAAGGUUAGGUCUACCAGGCGUUGGUUGUCCUGGGGAAAGGAGGUAGGCAGUGAUCUUAGGCAAAUCCGGGAUCACAUAUGCCGAGCACCGAGACGAGUCCUAUGAGGACGAAGUGACUGACACCACGCUUCCAGGAAAAGCCACUAAGCUUCAGCUACAGAAAAACCGUACCGCAAACCGACACAGGUAGGCAGGGUGAGAAUCCCAAGGCGCUUGAGAGAACUCGGGUGAAGGAACUAGGCAAAAUGGCACCGUAACUUCGGGAGAAGGUGCGCCCAUUGGUGUGGUCACAUGCGUGACUGAGCAUCGAUGGGUCGCAGUAACCUGGCCGCUGCGACUGUUUAUCAAAAACACAGCACUCUGCAAACACGAAAGUGGACGUAUAGGGUGUGACGCCUGCCCGGUGCUGGAAGGUUAAUUGAUGGGGUCAGCCGCAAGGCGAAGCUCUUGAUCGAAGCCCCAGUAAACGGCGGCCGUAACUAUAACGGUCCUAAGGUAGCGAAAUUCCUUGUCGGGUAAGUUCCGACCUGCACGAAUGGCGUAACGACAGCGGCGCUGUCUCCACCCGAGACUCAGUGAAAUUGAAAUCGCUGUGAAGAUGCAGCGUUCCCGCGGCAAGACGGAAAGACCCCGUGAACCUUUACUAUAGCUUUACACUGAACGUUGAGUUCUUCUGUGUAGGAUAGGUGGGAGGCUAUGAAACGCAGGCGCUAGCUUGCGUGGAGCCAUCCUUGAAAUACCACCCUGAAGUGCUUGACGUUCUAACCUAGGUCCGUAAUCCGGAUCAGGGACCGUGUAUGGUGGGUAGUUUGACUGGGGCGGUCUCCUCCCAAAGAGUAACGGAGGAGCACGAAGGUACGCUCAGCGCGGUCGGACAUCGCGCACUGUGUGCAAAGGCAUAAGCGUGCUUGACUGCGAGAUCGACGGAUCAAGCAGGUACGAAAGUAGGUCUUAGUGAUCCGGUGGUUCUGUAUGGAAGGGCCAUCGCUCAACGGAUAAAAGGUACUCCGCGGAUAACAGGCUGAUACCGCCCAAGAGUUCAUAUCGACGGCGGUGUUUGGCACCUCGAUGUCGGCUCAUCACAUCCUGGGGCUGUAGCCGGUCCCAAGGGUAUGGCUGUUCGCCAUUUAAAGUGGUACGCGAGCUGUGUUCAGAACGUCGUGAGACAGUUCGGUCCCUAUCUGUCGUGGGCGUUGGAGAUUUGAGGGGGGCUGCUCCUAGUACGAGAGGACCGGAGUGGACGUUCCGCUGGUGUUCGGGUUGUCAUGCCCAUGGCAUUGCCCGGUAGCUACGAACGGAAGUGAUAACCGCUGAAAGCAUCUAAGCGGGAAGCACGCCCCAAGAUGAGAUCUCCCGAGAGCUUGACUCUCCUAAAGGCACCAUCAAGACCAGGUGGUUGAUAGGUCAGGUGUGGAAGCGCAGCAAUGCGUUGAGCUAACUGAUACUAAUGAGCCGUGCGGCUUGACC
rnacentral:rRNA from 1 species